AACCUAAUUAAAGAAUUUGAGGAGAGAAAGAAAGAAAGAGUGAUCGUCAUGGAGAGCAGGAGGAAGAAUCAACAGAAGACGAGCUACAUUGUAAUUUCCAUCCAGCUCCUAGCGGCCCUCCUACUCUUGGAGCUUGUGUCGCUAGUGCCGGGGGCGUCAUGCGAGGAGUUGCCCUUGGAUUUUUGGGUGAGUGCACUACGGGGGGUCGGGGCAAAGGACGUUUCAACAGCCGAUGGAUGCACCAAGAAGAAUAAGGACACCGUGCUCUGCUCUGCCCAGGCUAACACGGUAACCAAUUUCAUCAACCCUACCAACUCUGAGGAACAAGGCUAUAGGACCAUCGGGGAGUCCAUCGCUAACAUCCCUGAUGAUAGCACCAAACGGUACAUCCUCAUCCUCAGCGGUGGCACCGUGUACCGAGAGAAGGUAUUGGUGAGCAAAAGCAAGCCAUUCGUCACCAUAAGAUCAGAUGACCCCAUCAACCUGCCAUCAUUGUGUGGAACGACACUGCCGCCACCCUGGGGAAGGAUAGCAAGCCCCUUGGAGUAGAUGGUAGUAGCACCAUGACCGUAGAGUCCGACUACUUCAUUGCCUAUGGUGUCGUCUUUAGGAAUGAUGCUGCAGCAGCAGCGAAGAAGAAGAAGGCAGAAGGCGAGGCGCCAG
rnacentral:misc_RNA from 1 species